CUGGGUGUGGCGCAGUUUGGUAGCGCGCGUGAAUGGGGUUCACGAGGUCGCAGGUUCAAUUCCUGUCACUCAGACCA
rnacentral:tRNA from 1 species